GAUGAACGCUGGCGGCGUGCCUAAUACAUGCAAGUCGAGCGAACAGAUAAGGAGCUUGCUCCUUUGACGUUAGCGGCGGACGGGUGAGUAACACGUGGGUAACCUACCUAUAAGACUGGAAUAACUCCGGGAAACCGGGGCUAAUGCCGGAUAACAUUUAGAACCGCAUGGUUCUAAAGUGAAAGAUGGUUUUGCUAUCACUUAUAGAUGGACCCGCGCCGUAUUAGCUAGCUGGUAAGGUAACGGCUUACCAAGGCAACGAUACGUAGCCGACCUGAGAGGGUGAUCGGCCACACUGGAACUGAGACACGGUCCAGACUCCUACGGGAGGCAGCAGUAGGGAAUCUUCCACAAUGGGCGAAAGCCUGACGGAGCAACGCCGCGUGAGUGAUGAAGGUCUUCGGAUCGUAAAACUCUGUUAUUAGGGAAGAACAAAUGUGUAAGUAACUGUGCACGUCUUGACGGUACCUAAUCAGAAAGCCACGGCUAACUACGUG
rnacentral:rRNA from 1 species